rnacentral:rRNA from 1 species
CCUACGGGUGGCAGCAGUGGGGGAUCUUUCACAAUGGAGGAAACUCUGAUGCAGCGACGCCGCGUGCAGGAAGACGGUCUUCGGAUUGUAAACCUCUGUCUUUGGCGAAGAAAAUGACGGUACCUUAAGAGGAAGCUUCGGCUAACUACGUGCCAGCAGCCGCGGUAAUACGUAGGGAGCGAGCGUUGUCCGGAAUUACUGGGUGUAAAGGGUGCGUAGGCGGGCGUGAUAAGUGACUGUUAAAUCGACCGGCAAAACUUGUAGCUGCGAUCAAAACUGCUUAUCGUGAGAGAAUUAGAGGCAAGCGGAAUUCCUAGUGUAGGGGUGAAAUGCGUAGAUAUUAGGAGGAACACCAGUGGCGAAGGCAGGCUGCUGGGCUGGAACUGACGCUGAGGCACGAAAGCGUGGGGAGCAAACAGGAUUAGAUACCCUUGUAGUC